CGUUGACCUCGGAUCAGGUAGGAAUACCCGCUGAACUUAAGCAUAUCAAUAAGCGGAGGAAAAGAAACCAACAGGGAUUGCCUUAGUAACGGCGAGUGAAGCGGCAACAGCUCAAAUUUGAAAUCUGGCCCCAGGCCCGAGUUGUAAUUUGCAGAGGAUGCUUUUGGCGCGGUGCCUUCCGAGUUCCCUGGAACGGGACGCCAUAGAGGGUGAGAGCCCCGUCUGGUUUGGAUACCAAGCCUUUGUAAAGCUCCUUCGACGAGUCGAGUAGUUUGGGAAUGCUGCUCUAAAUGGGAGGUAUAUGUCUUCUAAAGCUAAAUACCGGCCAGAGACCGAUAGCGCACAAGUAGAGUGAUCGAAAGAUGAAAAGCACUUUGGAAAGAGAGUUAAACAGCACGUGAAAUUGUUAAAAGGGAAGCGUUUAUGACCAGACUUGGGCCGGUUAAUCAUCCAGCGUUCUCGCUGGUGCACUUUGCCGGUCCAGGCCAGCAUCAGUUCGCUGCGGGGGAUAAAGGCGUCGGGAAUGUGGCUCCUCUGGAGUGUUAUAGCCCUUCGCGCAAUACCCUGCGGUGGACUGAGGUUCGCGCAUCUGCAAGGAUGCUGGCGUAAUGGUCAUCAACGACCCGUCUUGAAACACGGACCAAGGAGUCGUCUUCGUAUGCGAGUGUUCGGGUGUAAAACCCCUACGCGUAAUGAAAGUGAACGCAGGUGAGAGCUUCGGCGCAUCAUCGACCGAUCCUGAUGUUCUCGGAUGGAUUUGAGUAAGAGCAUACGGGGCCGGACCCGAAAGAAGGUGAACUAUGCCUGUAUAGGGUGAAGCCAGAGGAAACUCUGGUGGAGGCUCGCAGCGGUUCUGACGUGCA
rnacentral:rRNA from 1 species